UGCUUGCACAAUUUUAUACUUAGUGGCGGACGGGUGAGAAACACGUAAGAACCUACCUUUUGGCGAGGGACAACCACUGGAAACGGUGGCUAAUACCUCAUAUAACUGAGAAGUGAAAGAUGAAUAAUCACCAAAAGACGGGCUUGCGUCUGAUUAGCUAGUUGGUAAGGUAAUGGCUUACCAAGGCGACGAUCAGUAGCUGGUCUGAGAGGAUGAUCAGCCACACUGGGACUGAGACACGGCCCAGACUCCUACGGGAGGCAGCAGUGAGGAAUUUUCCGCAAUGGGCGAAAGCCUGACGGAGCAAUACCGCGUGAAGGAUGAAGGCCUAUGGGUUGUAAACUUCUUUUCUCAGAGAAGAAUUUUGACGGUAUCUGAGGAAUAAGCAUCGGCUAACUCUGUGCCAGCAGCCGCGGUAAGACAGAGGAUGCAAGCGUUAUCCGGAUUAAUUGGGCGUAAAGCGUCUGUAGGUGGUUUAUCAAGUCUUUUGUCAAAGAUCAGGGCCUAACCCUGGGCAGGCAGAAGAAACUAAUAGACUUGAGUUCGGUAGGGGCAGAGGGAAUUCCCGGUGGAGCGGUGAAAUGCGUAGAGAUCGGGAGGAACACCAAAGGCGAAGGCACUCUGCUGGGCCGUAACUGACACUGAGAGACGAAAGCGAGGGUAGCAAAUGGGAUUAGAUACCCCAGUAGUCCUCGCCGUA
rnacentral:rRNA from 1 species